CGCCUGGGGAGUACGGCCGCAAGGUUAAAACUCAAAUGAAUUGACGGGGGCCCGCACAAGCGGUGGAGCAUGUGGUUUAAUUCGACGCAAUGCGAAGAACCUUACCUGGCCUUGACAUCCAGAGAACUUUCCAGAGAUGGAUUGGUGCCUUCGGGAACUCUGAGACAGGUGCUGCAUGGCCGUCGUCAGCUCGUGUCGUGAGAUGUUGGGUUAAGUCCCGUAACGAGCGCAACCCCUAUCCCUGGUUGCUAGCAGGUAAUGCUGAGAACUCCAGGGAGACUGCCGGUGACAAACCGGAGGAAGGUGGGGAUGACGUCAGGUCAUCAUGGCCCUUACGGCCAGGGCUACACACGUGCUACAAUGGCGCGUACAGAGGGCUGCCAACUCGCGAGAGUGAGCCAAUCCCUUAAAACGCGUCGUAGUCCGGAUCGGAGUCUGCAACUCGACUCCGUGAAGACGGAAUCGCUAGUAAUCGCGAAUCAGAAUGUCGCGGUGAAUACGUUCCCGGGCCUUGUACACACCGCCCGUCACACCAUGGGAGUGGAUUGCACCAGAAGUAGUUAGUCUAACCUUCGGGAGGACGAUUACCACGGUGUGGUUCAUGACUGGGGUGAAGUCGUAACAAGGUAACCGUA
rnacentral:rRNA from 1 species